GGCCCUGUGGCGGAAUCGGCAGACGCAGCGGACUUAAAAUCCGGCAAGCGGUGUGUGGGUUCAAGUCCCACCGGGGCCA
rnacentral:tRNA from 1 species